rnacentral:rRNA from 1 species
ACCCGCUGAACUUAAGCAUAUCAAUAAGCGGAGGAAAAGAAACCAACCGGGAUUGCCUCAGUAACGGCGAGUGAAGCGGCAAAAGCUCAAAUUUGGAAUCUGGCGCCCUCGGCGUCCGAGUUGUAAUUUGAAGACUCUAUCUUGGGAGGCGGCGCUGUCGAAGUUCCUUGGAACAGGACGUCACAGAGGGUGAGAAUCCCGUGCGAUGGCAGCCGCGGACCAUGUAAGUUAGUGUCGACGAGUCGAGUUGUUUGGGAAUGCAGCUCUAAGUGGGUGGUAAACUCCAUCUAAAGCUAAAUAUUGGCGAGAGACCGAUAGCGAACAAGUACAGUGAUGGAAAGAUGAAAAGAACUUUGAAAAGAGAGUGAAAAAGUACGUGAAAUUGUUGAAAGGGAAGGGCUUGAGAUCAGACAUGCCUUCGGGCAGGCCAGCAUCAGCUGGAAGGGGCAGACAAGGGCGCCGCAAUGUGGCCUGGCUUCGGCGAGGUGUUAUAGGCGGCGUCGAUGUGUCCACUUCCGGCUGAGGACCGCGCUUCGGCAAGGAUGCUGGCGUAAUGAUCCCCAGCCGCCCGUCUUGAAACACGG